UUUUAUAUAAAACUGACCUUUAUUACAAUUUAAAAAGAACAAAGACAAGUUAAUAAGUGCCUUUAAUUACAAUGUACCUGCUAUUUACAAGUAAUUAUACUUUUAAUAUACAGCUUGAGGAAGGUUCAUUCCAUGUGAACUAGAAGCCAUCACAAGUUAAACUCCACCCUUUUAUGACUAUUCAGAGUUGACACAUUAGCAUCAGAGACAGAAAACAAACACCCGUGUCAGUUCCUUAAGUACCAUUACCAAAUGAAAAACCGUGAUCUGGCCGUAGAAGAGUAGAAAUAUGCCCCGACUGAAACAUGACAAAAAGUAUUGCUAUCAUCUAAUCCUAAAUACAAUGCACUGGAUCAUUAACAAUGCAACACAAUUUAUAUAGCACCGUUUAAGGAGAUCAAAGCCUGUGUCCUUACAUUAUCUUACUUGUUCCCAAAACAUCCCUAUGAGGUAGGCAGUGGUUGGUAAUCUUUAUCCCCAUCUUGUAAUAUGGAGAAACUGAGGCACAGAGAAGUUCAAUCAUUUGCUUGAGGUCACACAGUAAAGUUGAUGGUGGAACAGGGACCAUAUAGCCCUGUGCUCGCCUCCAAAAUGAAUCAUUCUCGUUAGACAAAACUGGACAAUUUAAUUUAACACAUUAAUUCACGUUUCCAAGAAAAUUUAAAAUGUGCUUUUCCCCCCUUCACCAGUACAAACUGUUGAAACACUGUAGGCAAGAACAGACAAGGGCAGACAGAUUUAUGCUUUGCUGGAAAGGUAUGGGAGUCUUUUCUUUUACUCAAGGAGUUGAUCUUCCUAGUGGAGACAGUUUAAAGUCCUUGGAGAAAAUAUCCUGAAAAGGCUCUUCUCCUGGCUUUCAGAUUACAGCUUUAGUGGCCAUGCUAAAUUUUCCACAAACUCGGCUUAUUCUUGAGUUACAAAGAAAAUAUCUAAAUAAAAAGUUUAACCUUUGAGUUAAGAGUCCUCCUUUACACAUUUACGGUUUACAUGUUAAGACAGUGGUUCUCAGCCUGUGGGUCAAGACCCCUCUGGAGCUCUUCACCAGCCAUCCUGCAGGUCAGACAUUUACAUUAUGAUUCAUAACAGCAUCAAAAUUACAGUUAUGAAGGAGCAACAAAACACUUAAUGGUUGGGGGUCACCACAACUGUACUAAAGGGUCACAGCAUUGGGAAGGUUGAGAACAACAAGCUUAGGAAGUGGGGACAGUGUAUUUUGGAGAGAGAGUCAGGAGCUAAUCACAACACAUAGUUCAAAUUUUGCUUUUUGAACUCCUUUAGAGUCAAUUGUGUAUUUGAUACUUAAAAAAAGUACUAAAAAUACAUGGAACCAUUGGAGUUCCAGACUCAACUCUCUAGACAUCCAUCCAUCCAUCCAUCCAUCCAUCCUCCAUCUUUCUUUAACUUUUUCUUUCUUUCUCUUUUUCAUUUUUGGCAUUUUUUAUACAGCAUCUCUACUAGACAAAUACUGUGAAUGCUUUCACAUCCCUGGUUAGUUGGCAGGUCUCUGUGAAGUAACAUGGAGGAAUCAACUUCAGAGAGAGAGAGAGAGUGAGAGAGAGAGAGAGAGCAAGAGAGAAAGCGAGAGAGAAAGAGUAUGAGAGAGAGUGAGAGCACCAGCCACAGUCACACAUUACAGAGAGGCUGAACUUUGUGCCAGGUUCAUUGACUGAGUUUACAUGGAAAACACAUAGAAAUACGUUAGGAAUGGUCAAAGUCACCAGCCUUGGCUUGGAGGUCAGUGUGCGACCUUCUCUUGGAGCCUGAGAAGCAGGGGAUGGGAGAUGGCCACUGCAGCUCAAAGUCAGUGGUUCCACAGGGGCUGGUGGUCGGUAGUGGAAGAGAAUCAGGGCAUCCUGUAGAUAUGGCACAGAGGUGAUAGUUGGGGAGACAUUCAUCAGUGCGGACAUGUCCGUGGCAAAUGGACAAAGGAACGGUAGGCCAUCUAUGAGGGGAAGGAGACACUGACUUCACAUCCUAGUCCUUCUGCCUCCUUAAGAGCAUCAGACUCGGAAAAACUGACUUUAUAUCCCAGUUCUUCAGCCUCCUUAAGGGCAUCAGAGUCAGGGGAAGAACCAUAAAAUUCUGAGGCUAGUGUGGAUAUUUAUGAACAUAUAAAACAAAGGUUUAAGCAUUUUCACAUUUAACAAAAAGCUCCUUACUCCUUCAUGAAUGAGAUGCUCAGACAGUUACACAUAUCUGCAGAGAUAAUUAGUAACUGCUGUGUCUUGAGUUACUUUGUACCUUACUUGAAUGAGAGGAUGAGAGGAGUACCUUCAAACUGGUUGGGAACCUAAGAGGCUUGUUACAGUCAACCAUUCUUAGAAGGGAAGCGCUGCAAUGAGAACUACACUGCACUUGUAAGUGUAUUUAUCUGGCUGUACUUGAAAUCCCCACAAGUCACAAGGCAUGCCAAUGCAACAGGGUUAUUGAAUAGGUGGGCAACGUGACAGGAUUUCCCUGUGCCAGUCUGACGAGGGACAGUCAUCAACCUUUAUAACACAGAUACCCAGAACAUUUUACUCAGAAGAGGGCCUGGCCUUGUAGCCCAGGUUGGUCUUGAAUGUAAGACCUUCCUUCUUUCCUACUCUCCCUGUCACAUGAUAACAGGCAUGGGCUGCCAUGCCGAGUUCCUAUAUCUUAAACCAAACCAAGCCAGCCCUACAGAAUAGCAAUGCCAAUCCAAGGGGAAAGUCUGUACUGGGAUAAAUGAAUAUUAAAGGAAUGAUCUUUAAUACUGCCUUUUAAAGAAAAUUAUGCUGCCAAUUUUAUCUGAGAGUGAAAAUCUGAAUAAACAUCUCUCAGUUAAGUGAAAGAACCUGAAGAACAACAAAACAUAAAUAUUUAGAGGUAAGAUGUAAAAAUAAUAAAAGACCCAAAAAUUGAGCAAGACAUAGGAUUUAAAAAAACCAUGCAGGGGUUGGGGAUUUGGCUCAGUGGCAGAGCGCUUGCCUAGAAAGCGCAAGGCCCUGGGUUCGGUCCCCAGCUCCGGAAAAAAGAACCAAAAAAAAAAAAAAAAAAAAAACAUGCAGAUGUCCUUUUUCUUCCAAUUUUUAACAUUUUAUCUCCAAAUUUUAGAUAAAAAUUCUAUUUUUCUCUGCGUUCUGUACUGUAAGAGAAGCACUUGUGGCAUAAGUGUGCCCACAGCAAGGAAAGAUGACGCAAAUGCCUCUAUAAAUGGAUCCGCAUUCCUCGCCGUGGGCACACACUCCUAUUUUCACAUCGGCCAGUCACUAACAGCAAACAGCACACUUUCAGUGUCCCCUUGGCACAGUGUCAUACACCUCUUAGAGCUUCCAGGACAUAGCUCUCCAUGCAGACUGUGAUUCCCACAGCCAUCUCUCUCCUAAGCUGCCUGGGUACCGGAAACCAACACUGUCAGAGGAAUGGCGCCCAGAUCACGGGGACUCCCUUCUGUCAUCACAGGGAGCACCGACCUCAAUAUUCCCAUUUCCAAAACCCUGCUUCAGCCUGGCAUCAGCCACUGCAUCGGCACAGGACAGGCCUUGUAAUCCUUGUUCCUUUAUCACCUGCUGGGCCUGCUGGGAAUGCUCGGGUUUAGCAAGGAAUGGUUCUCCCAUGUGGUAUCUGCCCCCCCAUACCUGGGAGGCCCCCUUGCCUCCCAGCCUGCCUGCCAGCCGGCUCAAGGUUUCUCUUCUGUUGCUUUAGGGCGAAUCUCUUCCUUUCACACACCGAGUGAACACCUGUUUACAAUCCUCUCGGCUGAAUGCGCAUUGAGUCACAGUGUGACAAAGCCGCCUCCAGACAGCACUGUCUUUCAAUGGGAGAAUUAUGAACACAAUUUGAAGUCUGAAUGUAUUCAUUAGGAAAACUAAAUGAAGCCAGCUCAAGAAGGCGUCUCAUAAUUACCAAAUAAAACAACUGGAGAAUGGUUCCUUUUACUUCUGCUCUUAUGACACGAGUUCAUCAUGCUAGUAGGAUAAACUUUCCAAAUAUGCAAUAGAACACAGUCUAGUUAGUGCCAGGGCCAGCAACACUUCACACGCACAUAUGCACACCCAUACACACAUGUGCGUACACACAGCUCAUCCCUGGUGAGGGCCCGGCUUGCUCUAACUCUACAGGGGAGAAUCAAGGAAGAGAAGCACCAGGCGUCUGGGUGAACUGUUAGUUCUCUGUGUUGGGUGCCUACUGCUAUUUUCCAUUCAGUUAGAACUUACUGUGGGAGAAUUCCAUUCUGUUGAAUUUACUGUAGGACACUUUUUGUUUUCUCACAAAGAAUAUCAGUAUUAUUUAGAAGUUUUGCAGACUUAGUGAGUGAUUUAGAUAAGGACAAGUCAAAAAUAUGCAGCCAACAUAGUUAUAAAAACAACUUUCUUUUAGAAUUUCGGAAAGGUUCCACAUAAGAUAGUCUAUGGUUUUUUCCUGAUUUCCCUUUUGGGGAGUAUGUGAAGCAGUGUAAAGUGCUUUCAAGCUUUUAGAAGUAUUUAAACAAAAAGAAAUAGCUACUUUUAAUCUAGAUAGGAAAAUAAUCUUAUAAUUUAUUUCUAUCUUUGUGGAUAAGUUUAUGUAAGCAGGAUAAUUGAAUGCAUGCUGUAGAUGCAGUGGUGAUGUUUGUGUGUAAGUCCAGCCUGCAGUGGACACAGUGGUGAUGUUUAGGUGUAAGUCCACCCUGCAGUAGACACAGGGCUGAUGUUUGUGUGUAAGUCCAGCCUGCAGUAGACGCAGUGGUGACGUUUAGGUGUAAGUCCAGCCUCCUUUUGAUGAUGAUUUUUUGCACAUUUAAACUCUGUAACAUUUAGACUUUAAACUAAACUACAGGCUCCAUCCAGCUCAGAGACAGGAACACGGAAUAUGGAUUUCGAGCCAAGUAAAAGAAUACAAGCUCACAGCAAACCAAAAGCCUGAACAAUCAAGUCAAAGACGAUGGCACAGCAGGAGAUCCAGGGUAGCCCCGUGCUGAGGCUCAGCUGAGCAGAGCUGUGUCCCUCACAUCUUCCAGUCCCAACCAGCUAGUGCUUGUCCUUUCAGAAUUGGUGUUGGAGGGAGGGCCUUCUGGUUCCUUGUACAGAACACUGCCAGAUGCAUUUCAUGACUAUGUUGCAUUUCAUGUUUGGAAACUCUGGGGACAUUCGGACAACAGGAUUUCAAGACAUGAUUAUUUAUAAUGAACCUAUCUCUAAAGAGUUUUAUACUUUAGAGAUCACACCGGCUUCCCUGCAGGGACUAAAACAUAACCGAGCUCCUGAGCUGUAAGGUGCCUGUAAGAAUUUGCAUGGUACAAGCACAUGGCCCCGUGACAUGGGUAGUACCACGUGAUGAAGGGACCCUCGUAGCCUGAGAGAUGUUUGGGCCAAACGCACUAAUUCACAGCAGUGGAAAUCAGUGGUUACAACAAGUCUUGCUCUUUACUGCUCCUGGGCUCCCAGGGUAGCCCCGUUAGUGCGUGACCAGCAGAGGCUAGGCCUACCCAUGUGACAUCUUCAUGGAUGACUAGGCUGAUGUCAACAACAUCUAAGAGAGUUUGCAGCUCCACGGGUGUGAUCCACAACCAGGAUGGAAACACAGGCCACAGCUGGUCACUUCACCCUCCCAGGCAUGCUCCUUGUCACAGGGAGGGAAGCCAGCAUGAUUAAUAAGUCACUAGAAUAAGAUGUCACACAGCAGUAGGACAUGGUGUCCUCUCCCUUCAUCUGUAGCCUGCACGUCAGCUAGGCUCCUUUUAAAAUGAAAAGUGAACACGAUUUCCAAUGCCGGCCUCGGAAGAUCCAGAGAGAUGAUUGAACUUUGUAUCUGAGCUGCUUUAGCCACUGAUUGUUGUGAGGCGAUGAAAAUCCGGGCAAUUUGCAUCAGCAGAUACUGCACAGUGCACACCGCUGCUGGCGUGCUUAGGGUGUCGCUAGACUUCAGUGAAAGUCCGAUACUUUCAGGAAGUUAGAAAUUCCCAAGUCAGAGUCUGUUCUAUUUUUAACACUGAGUACUUCAGCAGUGACAUAGCUAUUUAUGUCCACCGCAUUUUGCCACCAGUGCUGUCUGAGAAGCUGAGUCUUAACAAAUCUUCAAUGUUAAAUUACUUGUUAGAGAAAAGAAUAAAAACUGCUCAUAAUUAUCUAGCUUAUGUGCUUUGUGGUAUCUUUUCAAAAAAUGAGAGUAUAAAUCAUUGUACAUAAAAUCCAAAUAGUUAAUAUAUAUAUAUAUCUUCUGGCACUUCUAGAAAUUAGGCAUUAAACAUAAAACAUCUUAUAAAUUUAUAUAAUAAAAUAAAUGUUUACAUUUUACUCAGAUUACCAUCAGAUUACAGGAAAGUCACACGUGUGGGCAGCAAAGAUCACUGGAAACACAAAUUUAUGUCUGCAGCCCUUUGGGGAUAGACACCAUGGCUGCCAUCCACACAUAAACAUUAAGGCUCUGUUUGGAAGGGAGAGAGCGCUGGCUUUAAAUAACAGCAGAAGUACCACAGUACUUACGGAAAAUCCAAACACUGUUGGGGAAGGUUCUAAACAUAAAACGUUAAAAUGCAUCUAAACUGACCUCAUGUACCGUGUGAAGACUGCAGACGCAGAGUCCAAAUGAGGAGCAAAGACCCCGAGACCCCAGGGACAGCCCACCCCACACCUCACAGCCUGAGCAUCCAGACGCCCAGGGGCCAACAGGGCAGGUCUGGGAGGAGGGCGGGUUAGUGGGAAGCAGUUUCUCUGCAAGCUGACAUUUAGCUGAAGGCCAGUGCAGGCCAGUGGGAGACCGUCCUUGGGAUGAAGCACACAUGGGAGGUUUCCAGUGUUUUAGCACAAGUAGCGGAGGGAAGGAGAGGAAGAAAACAGGGGUCCUCCACAGCCACAGAAUUCCAGGCAGCUGGGAUUUCAGCAUGGGUGGGCGGGGCUCCACCUCCACCUCCUGCAGCCACAGCCAGGCUUCUUCUGUGGAGUGUGCAGGUCGGGGUACCAAGGGUUUCUUGGGAGCACGGAGGUUGCCUGCCCUGGAAGGCAGGUCCGUACCUUACUGUUUCAGAAAGCGGGAAACAGUUGUGAGCCCGCACUUGAC
rnacentral:lncRNA from 1 species